rnacentral:rRNA from 1 species
GAUGAACGCUGGCGGCGUGCCUAAUACAUGCAAGUCGAGCGAACAGACGAGGAGCUUGCUCCUCUGACGUUAGCGGCGGACGGGUGAGUAACACGUGGAUAACCUACCUAUAAGACUGGGAUAACUUCGGGAAACCGGAGCUAAUACCGGAUAAUAUAUUGAACCGCAUGGUUCAAUAGUGACAGACGGUUUUGCUGUCACUUCUAGAUGGAUCCGCGCCGCAUUAGCUAGUUGGUAAGGUAACGGCUUACCAAGGCAACGAUGCGUAGCCGACCUGAGAGGGUGAUCGGCCACACUGGAACUGAGACACGGUCCAGACUCCGACGGGAGGCAGCAGUAGGGAAUCUUCCGCAAUGGGCGAAAGCCUGACGGAGCAACGCCGCGUGAGUGAUGAAGGUCUUCGGAUCGUAAAACUCUGUUAUUGGGGAAGAACAAAUGUGGAAGUAACUAUGCACGUCUUGACGGUACCUAAUCAGAAAGCCACGGCUAACUACGUG